UACGUAGGGGGCAAGCGUUGUCCGGAAUCAUUGGGCGUAAAGCGCGCGUAGGUGGUCCCGUAAGUCCGCUGUGAAAGUCAAAGGCUCAACCUUUGAAAGCCGGUGGAUACUGUGGGACUAGAGUACGGAAGAGGCGAGUGGAAUUCCUGGUGUAGCGGUGGAAUGCGCAGAUAUCAGGAGGAACACCAAUGGCGAAGGCAGCACUCUGGGACGGUACUGACGCUGAGACGCGAAAGCGUGGGGAGCAAACAGG
rnacentral:rRNA from 1 species